CCGGGAAAAUCUUAUCUGAUUCAGGAUCAAUUCAUCGGUUACACUCCCCUGUCACCAGUGAUUCUUUUUUGCUGACAUUCUGAAAAAGUAUUGUGUAGUCCCUGUGUAAGUGUUGACUCUCAACUUGCACAUGUGAUUUUUUAACACUCCCUGGACUUCUGCAAAAACAGAAAGUCACAGGACAUUCCGACAAAAAGUCACAGGACAAAAAG
rnacentral:lncRNA from 1 species